GGGGACGCUAAGCCCCGGAAGCACCUCAAGAAGAAAACAAGAUAAACCUUACAUGAAGCUGCUGAGCAUUUGUUUCGUAUCGUCAUUGACUCUCGAGUUGGCAAAGCUGAUGCAGGAGCAGUAUAGCGCAACCCAAGCACACCACUUCAACUGCAAAUGACAGCCCUGAGGUUACCUGAGGUUUCAAUCAACUUGCCUAAAAGGUCAACACUUCAAAAACGAAGGGUGAACAGGAGCACUGUCCAGAGCGAACGAUGCACUAGAACCCCUACCCCAGCCAGGAACCAGGAGAUAUGGAUCUACACAUGGCCCAAAGCUGGAUCCGAAGAACUCAACUGAAGCAGACUGAGGCUAAAAUACUGCACUGCCAGCUAUCAAAGAUUGAUCUACCUUCCCUUCCCGCCCAACCACUUGGGCUAGACAGUAGAGCGAAGGCUCAUUUUUUUGCAAGCCGGUUUUCAAUCCCCGACUGUCCAAGUGGUUGGGCACAAUUUCGUCCCCAUGUCCCAUCAAAAAUCCUUAUAUUGAUCCCUUCCAAAUGCUAUAUAGUUAUAAUGAUUUAGUGAUUUCUCCUAAUAAUUCCCUUCCUUUCCCUUUCCCUCCAGAAAGUAGAAAGGGUGUAAAAAGAGAGGCAAACCACAAGGAAUACAACUAAGAAGAUUCCUGAUGAUCUAGAACUGCACGCUGGAAAGCACGACAGGCCGCAUAUAGUGUAAAUAUGCAACCACAUCCCACAGCAGCAGCUCAAACAACUAGAGCAAUGCUAUCAAGGCAAUCUUUGAAGACAACACAAAUGGUGAAACCAGCUGGGAAGAACCCUGCUCUAAACAUAAUUACACCUGAUCAACCAGGCUGUGACUCAUACGUCAGGCUGCGAGCAGCCGCAUCCAACAGCCUGGUUGAUCAGUCCGGCAACCAGGAGGCCUGGUCGACGACCGGGCCGCGGGGACGCUAAGCCCCGGAAGCACCUCAAGGUAACACUGAGAAGAGCUCCAGAGUUGCACAAAAAUGGAGACCCUAUGCCAAAUGGAUCUAAAAUUUGUGGUCCAACAUGAUCUAUUACAGUAUGUACUUAUCAUUUUGACAAUGGCAUAUGAUAGAGCAAUCAUUGGCAAACAAUUCCAUUUAAAAAUCAUAAUUACAGUAUAUGACAAUUAUUGGUGGUCCCAACAUAACAUAAUGACCAGGAUUUACACAAACUCAACCAUUCUUGACAUAAAUCCCAGUAAAUUGAGGGUACCGGUAGUAUAGUCGAGUUCGUUCUUGACUCGCAAUCUAGAAUUCUGGGUUCAAAUCCCAGGCAAGAUAGAAAUGGCGGGUGUGUAUCCUAUCACCUAAUGUACCUGUUCACCUAGCAGGAAAUAGGUACCCAAAAGUCAGUCAGCUUAUUGUGGGGUUGCAUACUGGGGAGGGUCAGUAAUUAGACCCUAGGGAUAG